GACGAACGCUGGUGGCGUGCUUAACACAUGCAAGUCGAACGCUGAAGCCCUGGCUUUUGUUGGGUUGGAUGAGUGGCGAACGGGUGAGUAACACGUGAGUAACCUGCCCUCUUCUUUGGGAUAACGCCCGGAAACGGGUGCUAAUACUGGAUAUUCACUGAUCUUCGCAUGGGGGUUGGUGGAAAGGUUUGUUCUGGUGGGGGAUGGGCUCGCGGCCUAUCAGCUUGUUGGUGGGGUGAUGGCCUACCAAGGCUUUGACGGGUAGCCGGCCUGAGAGGGUGACCGGUCACAUUGGGACUGAGAUACGGCCCAGACUCCUACGGGAGGCAGCAGUGGGGAAUAUUGCACAAUGGGCGAAAGCCUGAUGCAGCGACGCCGCGUGAGGGAUGGAGGCCUUCGGGUUGUAAACCUCUUUCGCUCAUGGUCAAGCCGCAACUGUGGGUUGUGGUGAGGGUAGUGGGUAAAGAAGCGCCGGCUAACUACGUG
rnacentral:rRNA from 1 species